CUACGGGUCGCACCAGUAAGGAAUAUUGCGCAAUGGGGGAAACCCUGACGCAGCAAUGCCGCGUGAAUGAAGAAGGCCUAUGGGUUGUAAAAUUCUGUCAGAAGGGAAGAACGGGUCGGUUCGCAGCCGAUUAUGACGGUACCUUCAGAGGAAGCUCCGGCUAACUCCGUGCCAGCAGCCGCGGUAAUACGGGGGGAGCAAGCGUUGUCCGGAAUUAUUGGGCGUAAAGGGUGCGUAGGCGGACGAGUAAGUCUGGUGUGAAAGUUGGCGGCUUAACCGUAAAAGGCCACUGGAUACUGUUAGUCUUGAAACACAGAGGGGGUAGUGGAAUUCCAGGUGUAGCGGUGAAAUGCGUAGAGAUCUGGAGGAACACCGGUGGCGAAGGCGACUGCCUGGCUGUGAAUUGACGCUGAGGCACGAAAGCGUGGGUAGCAAACAGGAUUAGAUACCCCAGUAGUC
rnacentral:rRNA from 1 species